rnacentral:rRNA from 1 species
UACGUAGGCAGCAAGCGUUGUUCGGAAUUACUGGGCGUAAAGAGUGCGUAGGCGGUUCCGCAAGUUUGUCGUGAAAUCUCCCGGCUUAACUGGGAGGGUGCGGCGAAGACUGCGGGGCUGGAGUGUGGGAGAGGUAAGCGGAAUUCCUGGUGUAGCGGUGAAAUGCGUAGAUAUCAGGAGGAACACCGGCGGUGUAGACGGCUUACUGGACCAUGACUGACGCUGAGGCACGAAAGCGUGGGGAGCAAACAGG